GACGAACGCUGGCGGCGUGCCUAAUACAUGCAAGUAGAACGCUGAAGCUUGGUGCUUGCACCGAGCGGAUGAGUUGCGAACGGGUGAGUAACGCGUAGGUAACCUGCCUGGUAGCGGGGGAUAACUAUUGGAAACGAUAGCUAAUACCGCAUAAGAGUAGAUGUUGCAUGACAUUUGCUUAAAAGGUGCAAUUGCAUCACUACCAGAUGGACCUGCGUUGUAUUAGCUAGUUGGUGAGGUAACGGCUCACCAAGGCAACGAUACAUAGCCGACCUGAGAGGGUGAUCGGCCACACUGGGACUGAGACACGGCCCAGACUCCUACGGGAGGCAGCAGUAGGGAAUCUUCGGCAAUGGACGGAAGUCUGACCGAGCAACGCCGCGUGAGUGAAGAAGGUUUUCGGAUCGUAAAGCUCUGUUGUAAGAGAAGAACGAGUGUGAGAGUGGAAAGUUCACACUGUGACGGGAUCUUACCAGAAAGGGACGGCUAACUACGU
rnacentral:rRNA from 1 species